rnacentral:tRNA from 1 species
GGGGGCUGUGGCUCAGAGGAAGAGUAUCUGCCUGGCAUUCAGAAGGCCCCGUGUUCAAUCCCCGGCAUCUCCA